rnacentral:rRNA from 1 species
UACGUAGGGGGCGAGCGUUGUCCGGAUUUAUUGGGCGUAAAGAGCUCGUAGGCGGUCUGUCGCGUCUGCUGUGAAAACUCAGGGCUUAACCCUGAGCUUGCAGUGGGUACGGGCAGACUAGAGUGCGGUAGGGGAGACUGGAAUUCCUGGUGUAGCGGUGAAAUGCGCAGAUAUCAGGAGGAACACCGAUGGCGAAGGCAGGUCUCUGGGCCAUAACUGACGCUGAGAAGCGAAAGCAUGGGGGAGCGAACAGG